rnacentral:rRNA from 1 species
UGGAUCCAGACUUUGAUUAUGGCUCAGGACGAACGCUGGCGGCACGCCUAACACAUGCAAGUCGAACGGAGAAAAUGAUUUCGGUUAUUUUCUUAGUGGCGGACGGGUGAGUAACACGUGAGGAACCUGCCUUUGAGAGUGGGAUAGCUUCUGGAAACGGAUGGUAAUACCGCAUAACAUAGCGAAACCGCAUGAUUUUGCUAUCAAAGUAUUUCGCUCAGAGAUGGCCUCGCGUCUGAUUAGAUAGUUGGUGAGGUAACGGCUCACCAAGUCGACGAUCAGUAGCCGGACUGAGAGGUUGAACGGCCACAUUGGGACUGAGACACGGCCCAGACUCCUACGGGAGGCAGCAGUGGGGGAUAUUGCACAAUGGGGGAAACCCUGAUGCAGCGAUGCCGCGUGGAGGAAGAAGGUUUUCGGAUUGUAAACUCCUGUCGUAAGGGAAGAGGAAGGACUGUACCUUACAAGAAAGCUCCGGCUAACUACGUGCCAGCAGCCGCGGUAAUACGUAGGGAGCGAGCGUUGUCCGGAAUGACUGGGUGUAAAGGGAGCGUAGGCGGGAUGGCAAGUCAGAUGUGAAACCUGAGGGCUCAACCUUCAGACUGCAUUUGAAACUGCUGUUCUUGAGUGAAGUAGAGGUAAGCGGAAUUCCUGGUGUAGCGGUGAGAUGCGUAGAGAUCAGGAGGAACAUCGGUGGCGAAGGCGGCUUACUGGGCUUUUACUGACGCUGAGGCUCGAAAGCGUGGGGAGCAAACAGGAUUAGAUACCCUGGUAGUCCACGCUGUAAACGAUGAUUACUAGGUGUGGGGGGAUUGACCCCUUCCGUGCCGCAGUUAACACAAUAAGUAAUCCACCUGGGGAGUACGACCGCAAGGUUGCAACUCAAAUGAAUUGACGGA